rnacentral:rRNA from 1 species
GAACAAAGCCGACGCGCACGCGCAGCUGACUCCUCCUCCCCCCACCCCACCCACCCUUCUCCGUCUUCUUCUUCCUCAGACCAACCGAGCCGACCCCGAUCCGGUCAAAAUCCAGACGGCUCACUGCUUCCUCCGCCCUCCCGCCCCGACGAAGCCAUGGUGUGCGUGGCGUGCCUCAUCCCGCUCUUCCUCAUCCCCUUCGUCAACGCGCUCCCCUACCUCUUCGACCUCCUCCUCAGCAAGGUUUAUCGCAUGCUUGGAUGGGAAUACAGGAGGCCCGAGAGAGUCCCAGCUGCCUGCCCGUUCAAGCCUGCAGCAAACAAGACUGAAGGUGUGGGUGAAUCAAAACCAGUAGCAAAUCCUCAUGUUGCAAGUGCAAAUCCUCUGGUGGAACCCCAGAGUGCUACCACAGAAAUGAAGAAAGAUGAUUAGAACAUGUAACGGUUGCCCGAUUUGACUUAUGUGAACAACUCACUAUUUGUAUUUGUGAUUGUGUCGUAACCGAGAAAUAAUUAAUGUAAGAUUGUAUAUUUGGGCAAGGGAUUGCUAAAAUAUUCCCACGUUUCCGCUU